GACGAACGCUGGCGGCGUGCUUAACACAUGCAAGUCGAUCGGUAACAGGUGUAGCAAUACAUGCUGACGAGAGGCGGACGGGUGAGUAAUGCUUGGGAAUCUGCCUAUUAGUGGGGGACAACCCGGGGAAACUCGGGCUAAUACCGCAUACGCUCUACGGAGGAAAGCCGGGGACCGCAAGGCCUGGCGCUAAUAGAUGAGCCCAAGUCGGAUUAGCUAGUUGGUAGGGUAACGGCCUACCAAGGCGACAAU
rnacentral:rRNA from 1 species